rfam:Amborella trichopoda AMTR_V1.0_contig_24216, whole genome shotgun sequence.
UUUUCUACAAAUCGGAAUGAUCUGAAAUUUGGAGCGUAUGUUCAUAAAAAAUAGGGAAUCUACGAAAAAUAUCAAAAAAAUAUUUUACAUGAAAUAAAUUGACCAAAAUAAUCCGAAAAAGUUUCAAGGAUAUUUUGGUCAAUUUAUUUUUUGUUAAUUAUUUUUUAUAUAUUUUUAUUAGGUGCGUCUCACUAAAAUGUACACACACUCCAAAUUUCAGAUCAUUCCGAUUUGUAGAAAA